rnacentral:lncRNA from 1 species
AAAAUGUUUGAACAAUUGGAUUUCAAACAUUUUCGUUUUGUGGAGUGGUGCUCACCAAGUGGUACAGCCCUAAGCAAGUGAACACAAACACAUUUAAGUGUAUUUUGUCUGAUUAGAUGUUAGCCAGUUAUGCUAUUUCAUUCAAAUGUCUGAAAAAAUCAAUUGACUAUUCCCUUUUCCUAAAGGGCAGAGACAGAUAAUCUCACUUCCAGAGAAAUGACUUGGAGAAAAAAAAGUGUUGGUCUUUUUGCUCUUUUGUAAUUAAAUCCGGAUGUACCUCAAAAGACUUAAGACUGUGGUGAUAAGAUGCUUUCCUCAGCAGAAAGGAGGGAAAAAAAACAACUGGAACUCAAAGCUUGAAAUUCUGUGGCAAAACAUGAGAUGUCCAGGAUUGGAGGUUGAAAAGAUUUCACUACAGUGUUCUGCAAUAGUUGGAGCAGAUAACUUUCAGUGUAGCCACAGCCAUGGACUCCAGAUUUCCAGAUUUUCAAGACCUGGACCUGGAACCCGAAAGAGCUUGUCACGAUGCGGCAGGAACACUGGAGGUAGAUUUUUUUUUAUUUUUGAAUUUUGGGACUGUUGACCUUGCUGUGAGAAAAGAGACAACGACUGAGCAAGCACUACCACCAGCACUGUUACUGGGAAUUAGAAGACCUGAGUUUCUGUCCAGACCCUCAGUGCAAACUGAGGAUGCUCCAUCCAAAGUGAAUUAUGUCCUGUGCCUCCUGAUUGCUGAGUGUUCACCUGGACCUUCUGACUACCUUCCCUGUGCUAUUCCAUCAGCCUACAGACCUGGUACCUGGAUUUUUGCCCGAGAUGAUUCCUACCACCUUACUACUGACGAAGACACCCAUUCCAGUGGACCACUGUGACCCAGGAGGCAUUCAGCCAUCAUGAUGUGGCCUUUACCUCCACUCCUGUCUUGUUCUACCCAGAUUCAGCACAGCCCUUUAUAGUGAAGUCAGAGUCCUCAAGCCAAAUAGCUAAAGCUGUUUUAUCACAACAAAGGCCUAGUUUGUUCCAUGAGUGUGCAUUUCAUUUCUUCAGUUAAAGCCUUCAGAGACACACAAUAAAUUUGGACCAGGGGAUUUUUUAGUUAUUAAUGCUCUCUGAAGAAAGGCAACAUCUUUUUGAGAGCAGCAUUGGACCACACCCCACAAUCUCAAAUGAUUGAAAUUCAUGAACAUCUAGGAUCCCGUGAAGGUCACUGGACCCUGUUUUUUCUACUUCAAAUCCUGUAGUAGCCUACUGAAUGAGAAAACAUAUUCUGACCCAUUGGGAUCAAAUCAAAGGCACAGUGAACUCCUCAUAGCAUCUUCUUUGGAAUUACUCAGGAACCAGAACUUUUUACACAAAUGUAAGAAAUUCUACCAAGGAGUCCCCUUACCUAACAGCAUCUCACAAGGCUGCACCAGAUUCCAGAAAAGGCUUCUCUUGAUACAUCAAGCAUUUUGUGACCGACUUAUUCUUAGAUCAUUGGUUUUCCAAAGGCUUUGUGGCCAUGAAGCCCUUUGAGUGAAAACUGUGCAGAAGCCCAGAGUAAAAGUGAAGCUGCUCUGGAUGAAGUAGUGAAGCAAGAGUAGGGGCCUGAAUCCUGCUACAACUAUCUUCCUUUACCACCGUGGUGACACCUAAGGGGACUUCCUUACAACACCUUGAACUCUUCCGAACACAGUUUGAAAACCACUGCCCCAGACAGCAAUAUGUUUGACCUGAAUGGCAUUCCAAUCUUUUCUGUACCUCCACUCAGCACAGUUCAUGUUCAGUAGAUGCUGAACAUUCUUAGAAAUACUGUGUGUGAACUUAGAAAAGUGCAAGAAGACAGGCAUGUCUUUGACCCCAGGAAUGAUCAUUUGCUGAAGAUGGUGUCAAGUGAACCUAGAUUAACAGCCCUCCACUCCAGAUGGAUAUCCAGUGAUUCCUAGAAUGGGAUAUAGCCAGAGAACAAUUCUAUGCACCCUACACUGACAGACUCCCUUAAGCAACACCAGAUGCUCUACUGGUACUUGAAGUACAUGACUUUGAAGUCUUGACCCUCCAUGAAUACCUGAAUUAUCAGCAAGCGGGUUUUGAAGCUGGUGCCUCAUUGAGGCCAUAUUAGAGCAACUUGUACAUUUGACCUCUUGUUAUCAGCCAUGGUACUCUACUUCGUGUGCAAGAGAUAACUAUGAAAGCCAAAUUCAAAUACUGGCAACAUUUCCUAAAGGGGCUCAAUAUCUAUCAUUCGUCUUCUUUUCCAAACUACACAUCACUGUAUGACUCAACCAGUAGCAGUUAUAUUGCCCCUUGGUUUUUAUUCAGUUUAACUACUGUUUCCAAGAUAAAUGAGCUAAUAAGCUUUAAAAAAAAAAAAAAAAAAGGCUGAAUUCUUUUUUCUUCAUCACUGGCAUAUCUGCCUAUUCUCCAGAAUUAUUAUGACUAUUCAGCUCACUUUAACAGUUGAACUUCAAGCGACAAUCUUUGAACACCCCUUCUCAUGUGAUUUAAAAUGAAACCAUUUGGAAAAGUUUCUUCUAGCCAGUAAUAGAUUUUUUUUUUAAUUGCUCUGCCUUGUGCCGAGAGAUGUUCUUUUAAGAUGAAUCUUUUGAUGUCUGAUACCACCAAAUAUAGGUGGUAGGGAGAGUUGGAGGCUGGCCCUUUGAGCAGGCCAUUAGCUUACUUGCUGGGCAUUUCCGAUAGCUUAUUGCCUACCUUUUUGCUGGAAACAAACUGAUUUGAAAAACAAAAUCUAUGAAGACUGCAGCUAAGGAUUUUAUCGGUAGACUUAAGAGCUUUUGUCCUUGUGGAUAUUUUAGUGGAACCACAUCAGUCUCAAUACUGUCAUUUUACACUGACUCAGAGCAGCUGACUUCAUUCCUUGCCAUGAUAUAUAUUUAAGGCAGGCAUUGUAACAGACAUAAAGACAACUUAUCUGUUUCAGCAGGAAGGAUUCAGUUUAUGAACUCUCAGACCAGAUCAUGUUGAACAAGGAGACUUUGAUGUGUGUCAUGAGAAAACUCAUUCUUUACUUCCCAGUCAAUUUAAAGGCCAGCUAUCCUGAGCUACUCGAAUGAAUGCACUGGUUAAACAUUGGAAAUAGUUUGUUUAUAUCCUUGUCUCUCUCUAGGCCAAUUGUGAUUACAUGACUCGACUCUACAUCUCGUCAAACAAGGCCUAGGUCUGGUUGCUGUAGACUGCUCGCCCUCAACAAAUAAAAUCUGGUUGACUAGCCUCCUUGUAUAUACAACUAUUAUUUGUUAAGAAGAAAUUAUCGUCAAUUUUCUACUACCUUCCAAUUGUCAGCUCUUUUUUUCCUCUCUGGUUUUUCCUAUACUUUACAGAAAAAGACAUUGAUCUAUACUGCCAUUCCCUCUAAUCCUGCCAUACUCAGUCAAAAGGAAUGACUUAAGAUGAAGAUGAUCAUCUGCUCGAGUCUAAAAUAUACAUUGUAUAUAAGAAUUGGUGAUUAGAAAAGCAAAAAACCUAAAACUUAAAUCUAGGAGUCUGUAUACUGUCUCCAUGUCUCCAUGCCUCAGAUCUCAUCUAAAUCUUUGAACAGCACCAUUCAACCAAUCUGAGGCCUUGACUUGCUUGUAAGAUGAUUCUCAGAGAUCGGCUGAGUUAAAAAAGAUGACGACUUGAUUACCAAAGAAAGUAGGGCCAACUUUGACAAAUCUGGCUCUGCUGACCCUGUCACUCCCAGAUGUAGCAUAGACUCCUAAACAGAACCUCAAGUCUGAUUGAGGAUAAGGCCUUCUCCUGAGCUGAAAGUUCUUUGGCAGAUGAGCAAGAAACUGAAAGCUGAUGUACCUGACUGGCUCUGUAAGAUCAGAAAACUGUAUCCAGAAUAAGCCCUAUGGAUUAACCCCUGAGUACCCAGAGUAAAAACUAAUUUACAGAACUUCCUUAUUGAUCUGCUGGUUCUUCCAGAUCAUAUUCUGGCUAUUGGUAUGGCUGGCCUUUCUGAAGGUACCCUGCUUGUCUAUUUUCCUGACUCAGCUCUUGCCUGCCUUUUUCACAUGUUGCUGCAAUUAGACUCACCGUGAGGACUACAGUCAAUUUCAGUCUAUCUUGUGCCCAAUACAACAAGGAUUUUUAAUAGUAACAACCCACACCUCACCCACUAGGACUCAAUGUUCACAACAGGAAGGACCAUUGCUGCAUACUCCUUGACCAGCAACUUUUUUGAAGAUAUUUUUAAGUGCAGAGUAGGCCUCUAUUCCUGUAUGUAAUUGUUCAUUUUCAGCACCUGGAACCUCAUCUAUCGGGUCUGGAAGGAAUACAGCAGUUCGAAAGCCGCGUCCAUUUCUCUCCUUCAGUAGUGCAGAAAUGAGUCCGAUUCACCAGUACACACAGAACUGUACCAGUUCAACCUAGCAAAAGAAGAAAAGUUUCCACUGUACUUAAAAUUUACAGCUGACUCAAAUUGCCUCACAGAAUUAUUUGAUGUAGAAGGCUAGUUGUCUUACUUCAGAUCAGCAGGACAGUUGGGCUCUCAGACUCAUGACCACUGAGUUUGCUUGUGUUGAAACUGUGGUUUCAUCCAACAUAUGCUAUUGGACAUGAUUAUUAUUCCAUUCAAAUGGAUUACAGACUUCUUGAGGACAGGACAAACUUAUCUCUCAUGGUGUUUUUUUAGAAUACUUUUAUAACCAAGGAAGAAACCAUGCCAGCUGUUACCAUUCAACUUCUUAAGCAGAGAUUAAGCUUUUUCAUAUCUGUUCUUAUCCUGGACAUCAGUAGUUUUUAAUUGCCCAGCAUCCGUUCCAUCUUGUAACAACUCCCUGAUGUUUCUUAAAACCACCUCUUCCUAUUUUCAGUCUGUGGUUUGGACAGUCUGACCCAACCUUGAGCUUUGUGGGUGAACAUGUAAUUCAGACCUCAUCAAUCAGCAAAUCCAUCUGAACUGUGGAGGAGAAGCUCUCUUUACUGAGGGUGCUUUAGCUUUGUAGGAUGAAAACCUCAAACUAACAGGGCCUACCAUGUAGAGAAUGAAGCCAGUGCAGGGGAAAGCAGAGCCAAAAUAUGGAGAGACUUGAAUCCUGAUGACAGCGUUUGUGCCCCUGGAUCCAACCGUGCCUGAAGCUAGAAUAUCCCCUGGACUUUUCAGUUAUGUGAACCAAUAAAUACCCUUUUUUGCUUAAGUUACUUUGAGUUGGGUUUCUGUUACUUGAAAUUGAAUCCACACUAAUAUAUCUACCAACAUUGAGACUUGACAGAUCCAAGUAUUUAUUAAGCUAGAGGUCAUGGUCACUGAAAUUACUUUCCAAAGUGGAAGACAAAAUGAAACAGGAACUGAGGGAAUAUUUAAGAUCCCACAGAAGCGUAAAAAUGACAUGGUAGAAAGUAAUAGAAAACCUAAAUGUCUGUCAUUAAAGGAUAGGUUAAGGUGUGGUUCAGCCAUAUAGGAAUAUCUCGUAUCUGUUAAAAUGAAUAAAGUACAUUCAUUGUGUAUGGAAAAAUGGCCAUGAUACAUUAGGUGAAACAAGUUAUUAAUAGAAAAGUGUACAGUGUGAACUCAUUUUAAAAUGUGUGUGCUUAUGUUUAUAAAUGCAUAGAAAGGUCUAUUCACAGCUUUCUUUGAACAGUGUAGAUCACAUGAAACUUUCAACUUUAUACAUUUCUGUAUUAAUAUUUUACACUACCCACAUUAUUUUUAAACUUUAUUUUAAAUAAAGAAUUUUUAAAAUUAAA